GCAUCGAGAUGGAUUACAUUCAACAUACCCUUUGGCUUUAUAUUAUAAGUGGGUGGUGGAUUUAGUGGCAAUGCCUAUGGAACUUGGACAAAUGAACUAUUUAGUACUUGCAGGAGAAGAUUUAUCAAAUAUAGUUGAAAGACGAGCAUUAACAACAUAAGAUACUAAAGGUGUAUGUCAAUUUCUAUUAGAAGAGGUUAUUUCUUACUAAGAUUGUAUUAGAAAAAUCAAUGCGGAUAGGGGUGAAUUGGAUGCAAAUAAAGCACGAGUAUUCUUUAGUAGAAUAGGAAUUAAACU
rnacentral:lncRNA from 1 species